rnacentral:rRNA from 1 species
AUUGAACGCUGGCGGCAUGCUUUAUACAUGCAAGUCGUGCGGCAGCGCGGGGGCAACUCUGGCGGCGAGCGGCGAACGGGUGAGUAAUACAUAGGAACGUAUCCUGAAAUGGGGGAUAGCUCGGCGAAAGCCGGAUUAAUACCGCAUACGCCCUACGGGGAAAGGCGGGGACUUCGGCCUCGCGCUAUUAGAUGAGCCUAAGUCCGAUUAGCUAGUUGGUAGGUAAUGGCCACCAAGGCGACGAUCGGUAGCUGGUCUGAGAGGACGACCAGCCACACUGGGACUGAGACACGGCCCAGACUCCUACGGGAGGCAGCAGUGGGGAAUAUU